UCGCCCCUCCUGGUCAGGGUGGGGGCGUACCAAGAGGACAUCCAAUGCAGGGCCGAAGGGGAAAAAUAACACCGCGGGAGGUAACAGGAGAACCAUCGACCCAGUCUCCCAGUGGAAGAUGUGUCCCUCCUCCAGCCCAAAGCCAACCCCUCCACUGUGCUCCAGAUCCCCUCUCAUCUCUCACUGCUUCCUCAGUCAUCCUUCUCGGGCUUUCCUGGUGGUGCGGUGGUCAAGAAUCUGCCUGCCAAUGCAGGGGACACGGGUUCGGGCCCUGGUCCGGGGAGAUCCCACAUGUCGCGG